rnacentral:lncRNA from 1 species
GCUGCCCCAGCCCCGUCACCCCACAGAGGUCUUUGAGGGGUCUCCCAGCGGCACGCAGCGACCCCCCCCCUCCCGUUGAGGGGCCGUUUGCACUUUUAAGACAGCUAACAAUUCUAACAUAGUCACUUUGGAGUUAUUUCGUAGUGUUUCCAGCCUUCUGCUCAGAGCCCUGCAGCGCUGUGCGUGGCGGCACAAAGUUGUGGCCAAGUCCAAGGCCGGCCCGUGCUCUGCUGGACCCCAGCUCCAGCGUUACGAGAGGAACGCUGCCUUCAAAAUUAAAAAACCCUUUGAAAUUAAGAGAGCCAAGUGACAGUCUUCUCACAGAAACCUCCAUAUCCGCUCAGCAGUCCGGCUCGGCGCUUCAGGCUCAGGCCGGGCGGAGGAAAACCACAUUUUUGCUGCUGGGUUUGAUGUCCACUCACUCCGCCCGUUACGCACUGUGGAAUCAAAACCAGCAUGGGAUAAAUGAUCAGAGCGCGGAAAGGUGGCACGGCAUCAUCAGGGCUGAGGCAGAGUACAGGACUGACUACAGGGAAGGGCUGCCAACUGCGGCCAGUGCCCGCUACUGUGGACACCCUCAGCUCUCUCUUGCAGCCCCAGGCAGGCUGGAGCCAUUGCUUACCUCUCUACCUUCCAGUACCUGGACAGAGAUUUCAGUGCAACUGUGUUCGCUUUCACCUGGAAGAAACCAUGAAACAGCUGAAUAAAACAGACUUCUUGAAGAGUGACCAAAUGAAAACACGUGUUUUUCUGAUGAAGGAAAACACAGACCACAUCAUAGCAACUUUCCAUAAAACACAUACAGCACCUAAGGAAAGUCCUUUAUGUCGAGUGAAAGAAAAACCUCUGCAGAGUGCCCUAGAGCGCUACAAAAAGUUUUUUGAAUGGCUGCAUGAGAAGUGCCAGAAAACGGGCUGA